rnacentral:rRNA from 1 species
GAUGAACGCUGGCGGCGUGCCUAAUACAUGCAAGUCGAGCGAACGGACGAGAAGCUUUCUUCUCUGAUGUUAGCGGCGGACGGGUGAGUAACACGUGGAUAACCUACCUAUAAGACUGGGAUAACUUCGGGAAACCGUAGCUAAUACCGGAUAAUAUUUUGAACGGCAUGGUUCAAAAGUGAAAGACGGUCUUGCUGUCACUUAUAGAUGGAUCCGCGCUGCAUUAGCUAGUUGGUAAGGUAACGGCUUACCAAGGCAACGAUGCAUAGCCGACCUGAGAGGGUGAUCGGCCACACUGGAACUGAGACACGGUCCAGACUCCUACGGGAGGCAGCAGUAGGGAAUCUUCCGCAAUGGGCGAAAGCCUGACGGAGCAACGCCGCGUGAGUGAUGAAGGUCUUCGGAUCGUAAAACUCUGUUAUUAGGGAAGAACAUAUGUGUAAGUAACUGUGCACAUCUUGACGGUACCUAAUCAGAAAGCCACGGCUAACUACGUG